AGUAGAGCGGCGGACGGGUGAGUAACGCGUAGGAAUCUACCUAGUAGAAGGGGAUAGCCCGGGGAAACUCGGAUUAAUACCGUAUACCUCCUAAGGGAGAAAGAGGGCCUCUCUUGAUGCUCUCGCUAUUAGAUGAGCCUGCGUAAGAUUAGCUUGUUGGUGAGGUAAUGGCUUACCAAGGCUACGAUCUUUAGCUGGUCUGAGAGGACGAUCAGCCACAUUGGGACUGAGACACGGCCCAGACUCCUACGGGAGGCAGCAGUGGGGAAUAUUGGACAAUGGGCGCAAGCCUGAUCCAGCCAUACCGCGUGUGUGAAGAAGGCCUUCGGGUUGUAAAGCACUUUAAGCAGGGAGAAAAAGUUAUAAGUUAAUACCUUAUAACCGUGAUGUUACCUGCAGAAUAAGCACCG
rnacentral:rRNA from 1 species